rnacentral:rRNA from 1 species
CUGCCCUGUACACACGGAUAACAUACCGAAAGGUAUACUAAUACGGGAUAACAUACGAAAGUCGCAUGGCUUUUGUAUCAAAGCUCCGGCGGUACAGGAUGGACCCGCGUCUGAUUAGCUAGUUGGUAAGGUAAUGGCUUACCAAGGCAACGAUCAGUAGCCGACCUGAGAGGGUGAUCGGCCACACUGGAACUGAGACGCGGUCCAGACUCCUACGGGAGGCAGCAGUGGGGAAUAUUGCACAAUGGGCGAAAGCCUGAUGCAGCAACGCCGCGUGAGCGAUGAAGGCCUUCGGGUCGUAAAGCUCUGUCCUCAAGGAAGAUAAUGACGGUACUUGAGGAGGAAGCCCCGGCUAACUACGUGCCAGCAGCCGCGGUAAUACGUAGGGGGCUAGCGUUAUCCGGAAUUACUGGGCGUAAAGGGUGCGUAGGUGGUUUUUUAAGUCAGAAGUGAAAGGCUACGGCUCAACCGUAGUAAGCUUUUGAAACUAGAGAACUUGAGUGCAGGAGAGGAGAGUAGAAUUCCUAGUGUAGCGGUGAAAUGCGUAGAUAUUAGGAGGAAUACCAGUAGCGAAGGCGGCUCUCUGGACUGUAACUGACACUGAGGCACGAAAGCGUGGGGAGCAAACAGGAUUAGAUACCCUGGUAGUCCACGCCGUAAACGAUGAGUACUAGGUGUCGGGGGUUACCCCCCUCGGUGCCGCAGCUAACGCAUUAAGUACUCCGCCUG